rnacentral:rRNA from 1 species
CACGUAGGCGGUGCCGUAAGUCGGGUGUGAAAUCCCUCGGCCUAACCGAGGAACUGCGCCCGAUACUGCGGUGCUUGAGGACCAGAGGGGUGCAUGGAAUUUCCGGUGGAGCGGUGAAAUGCGUUGAUAUCGGAAGGAACUCCGGCGGCGAAAGCGACGCACUGGCUGGUUAACUGACGCUGAGGUGCGAAAGCCAGGGGAGCAAACGGGAUUAGAUACCCCGGUAGUCCUGGCCGUAAACGAUGGGUACUAGGUAGGGGGAUUUCAAACGUCUCUCUGCUGGAGUGAAUAUAUUAAGUACCCCGCCUGGGAAGUACAGUCGCAAGGCUGAA